GCGGGGAUAGCUUAGUUGGGAGAGCGUCAGACUGAAGAUCUGAAGGUCGCGUGUUCAAUUCACGCUCACCGCA
rfam:Ricinus communis cultivar Hale ctg_1100012361780, whole genome shotgun sequence.